rnacentral:rRNA from 1 species
GAUGAACGCUGGCGGCGUGGAUUAGGCAUGCAAGUCGAACGGUAUCAUCCUUUCGGGGGUGAGAGAGUGGCGAACUGGUGAGUAACACGUAGGUUAUCUACCCUCAAGACGGGGACAACCCAGGGAAACUUGGGCUAAUACCGGAUGUGAGCAACUUUUAGUUGUUUGAAAGGUGGCGUAAGCUGCCGUUUGGGGAUGAGCCUGCGCUCUAUUAGUUAGUUGGCGGGGUAAAGGCCCACCAAGGCGAUGAUAGAUAGGCGGCCUUAACGGGUGGUCGCCCACACUGGGAUUGAGAUACGGCCCAGACUCCUACGGGAGGCAGCAGUCGAGAAUAGUCUACAAUGGCCGAAAGGCUGAUAGUGCGACGCCGCGUGAACGAGAAGCCCUUCGGGUGUAAGUCUUUAUAUGUGAGCAGUGCUUUCUAUGUGAACAGCAUGGGAGAGAGAUAUUAGCAUAUGAAUAAGCAACGGCUAACUCCGUGCCAGCAGCCGCGGU